CGUUCUCUCCCCUUGAAUCCUAACCAAAAUAAGUUUCCCCUCCCUGACUUGGCGGAGCCCGAACUGUAGACGAUUUUUGUGGCUGGGCGGUACAGACUAGUAGUGUCCCUUAGCGGAAACUAACAACGGCCAGCUGACGACCGUUGUCACCACCGCCUGCACCAUCUCUCCAAGUCUGUGACUGCGACACUACCUUUUUAAAUAACUGCAUGCCCCUCACACGCGCACUAUCAGUACGGAUUUGGCAAGACCUUGUUUCUUUUCCACGGACAGUCGCCUCGCUCGUGCACCGGUCAAGGCGCAAGAGUGGUACGUGCUAAGUGGAGGGAAGCAAAGCGCUGCGCAGUUCUGCACUGUGUCCCAAACAGGAACAGAUUUCACUGGAGGGAGCUACCUGAUUUUUCCAUUCAGCCAAUGAGCCACACCAAUACCAGGUACAGGAACAGCAGUAAUCUGUGGGACAACAUCUGUGGGACUAUGGUGUCCACUUAGGGAGUUGUAUAUAAGAGUUGAUAUACCUUCUUACAAGCAGAUUUUGAACAGACUGAAGAGAGACUGCUGAGGAGAAUAUUAACUGGCAACAAGUGAGGUCAGCACAAGCCGUGAACGGAGGAAUGAAUCCGAAGUUGAGAAAAAAUUGUUCCCAACUGAGAUAAGUGGCUCUAGGAGAGUAAGUGAGCUCCUGCAACCCUGCAGUCCAUAAAGGUAACUAACAACAAUGUGCCCUGUUAUACAUUUGAACACGUUGCUGACACGUCUGGCAGCUGGUGGUGUACCCAAACAGCAUUGAAACGUUUUAUAAAGUUUUACAAAAAGUUUUCGGGAAACGCUAGAGUUAUGUUUGUAGUAAAUGUUUUUUAAAUGUAAUUUAAACGUCUAGCAAAAAUAUUUUUUGUUCUCGCUGUCAUGCGGUAACUUAAAUGGGGAAGUAACAAUCGCAGCAAUUAAGGUUUAGGGUGGUUUGUUGACAAGCCCGAGGGCCCUUAGGCAGGGAAAGCAUGAACCUAUGCACAGACACAUCUACGGCGAUGGAACUGAGUUUUUUUGUUUUUUGUUUUUUUUUGCUUCAUGUUGAAUACGAUUGUUCCACAAGAACAGGCUGGGCCGAUC